rnacentral:rRNA from 1 species
CCUACGGGUGGCAGCAGUGAGGAAUAUUGGACAAUGGGCGGAAGCCUGAACCAGCCAAGUAGCGUGCGUGAUGAAGGCCCUACGGGUCGUAAACCGUUUUUGCACGGGGAAAACACCCUCCACUUGUGGAGUUCUGCAGGUACCGUGCGAAUAAGGGCCGGCAAAUUCCGUGCCACCAGCCGCGGUAAUCGGGAAGGUCCGAGGGUUAUCCGGAUUGAUGGGGCGUAAGGGGAGCGUAGGGGGGGUUUCAAGGCAACUGUAAAGUCGCGCGGCUCAACCGCGCCCCGCAUUUGAAACUGGACGCCUUGAGUUCACAACAGGCAAGCGGAAUUCGUGGUGUAGCGGUGAAAUGCGUAGAUAUCACGAGGAACCCCAGUUGCGAAGGCAGCCUGCCGGGGUGCGACUGACGCUGAGGCUCGAAAGUGCGGGUAUCAAACAGGAUUAGAUACCCGGGUAGUC